GACGAACGCUGGCGGCGUGCUUAACACAUGCAAGUCGAACGGAAAUUCCCUGCUUUUGUGGGGUGCUCGAGUGGCGAACGGGUGAGUAACACGUGAGUACCCUGUCCUUGACUUUGGGAUAACGUCAUGAAACUGGGGCUAAUACCGGAUAGGAGCUCCUGCGGCAUGGUGGGGGUUGGAAAGUUUCGGCGGUUGGGGAUGGACUCGCGGCGUAUCAGCUUGUUGGUUGGGUAGUGGCUUACCAAGGCUUUGACGGGUAGCCUGCCUGAGAGGGUGACCGGCCACAUUGGGACUGAGAUACGGCCCAGACUCCUACGGGAGGCAGGAGUGGGGAAUAUUGCACAAUGGGCGGAAGCCUGAUGCAGCAACGCCGCGUGCGGGAUGACGGCCUGCGGGUUGUAAACCGCUUUCGCCUGUGACGAAGCGUGAGUGACGGUAAUGGGUAAAGAAGCACCGGCUAACUACGUG
rnacentral:rRNA from 1 species